GCGAUUGAGGGAGCCGUUGUUCGGUUGUUGGAUGUUGUUUUGGACAUUCGAGUCUGCCAAUUUCAAAGUUGCAGAGAUUGGAUUCCUGUUGGUUUCUACCAAUUCCAAUUUCUAAGGUUUGAAUCGAAGAACACAAUGAUCUACACAAGAAUCUCAUCUUUAGGUUCCUCCAGAGUAAAGCUCGCAUACAGAUAUGGCUGUUUGAGCAGGAGGAUUUGAGAAUUGAAGGUCUCAUUUUUGUAAGUUUAAUUAGAGUUGUUUUUCUUGUUAUUGAUUUCAACUGUCUAGUCUUUAGGGCUUUCUAUAUGUGCAUUAAACCCUAAAGUAAAGAAGAAGUACACUUUGAUUAUUAAGAUUAUGAAUUUAGAGUGUUAAAAGGGUUUCUUUCUU